GACGAACGCUGGCGGCGUGCUUAACACAUGCAAGUCGAACGGAAAGGCCCUGCUUUUGUGGGGUGCUCGAGUGGCGAACGGGUGAGUAACACGUGAGUAACCUGCCCUUGACUUUGGGAUAACUUCAGGAAACUGGGGCUAAUACCGGAUAGGAGCUCCUGCUGCAGGGUGGGGGUUGGAAAGUUUGGGCGGUUGGGGAUGGACUCGCGGUUUAUCAGCUGGUUGGUGGGGUAGUGGCUUACCAAGGCUUUGACGGGUAGCCGGCCGGGGGGGGGGACCGGCCACAUGGGGAGUGGGAACCGGCCCAGACCCUACGGGGGGGAAGAGGGGGGGAAAUUUGCCAAAGGGGGGGAGCCCUAGGGAACAACCCCCGGGGGGGGAAUGCCGCCCUUGGGGUUGAAACCCCUUUUCCCCUGUACCGAGCGGGAGGGACGGGAAAUGGGAAAAGAACCCCCGCCAACCUCGUG
rnacentral:rRNA from 1 species